rnacentral:rRNA from 1 species
UACGUAGGUGGCGAGCGUUGUCCGGAAUCACUGGGCGUAAAGGGCGCGUAGGCGGCUUAGCAAGUCGCAUGUGAAAAACCAGGGCUCAACCCUGGGGGGUCAUGCGAAACUGCUGGGCUUGAGUGCAGUAGAGGUAAGCGGAAUUCCUGGUGUAGCGGUAAAAUGCGUAGAGAUCAGGAGGAACACCGGUGGCGAAGGCGGCUUACUGGGCUGCAACUGACGCUGAGGCGCGAAAGCGUGGGGAGCAAACAGG